UAUGAGCUUUUGUAUUUUAGAUGAGAUGAACACAAUUCCAAUAAAAUUAUAGCCCAGCAAUAUCCAGGGUUAGGAAUGAAGACAUAAUUUUAAAUACAACUUUGCAGCUCUCUCUCACAAACCAAAAUGGAUCCUGGAAUCUGAAGAACCAGGAAAGUUCUGGAGACAGCUGUGGGUCACAAGAAACAAAGUGAACUGCCCUCAGGGUCACUCUCAAACAAAAGUGAGUGAGGGGAAGGAGGUGAGCAGAGGUCAAAGAGUGGGGAGAAAAGGCAGCCUCUUGCACAGAAUUAGAUAAUUAAUAUCUAUCUGCAUUUUAGCAAGAAAACCCCACAAUUUCAAAGGUGCUGUCUAGACCAGAGAAUAUAAUCUGUGCCUAAGAAGAUGGAAUGAGCCAUAGGAAGAUUAAACUCAGCCCUGCUUCAUUGUGCAGUACACUCACCAGCCACAUGAACCACUUGGUCACAGAAAU